UCCUCCUUAGCUCAGUUGGUAGAGCGCGUCACUCGUAUGAAGUUCAGAUGACGAGGUCAGUCGUUCAAGUCGGCUAGGGGGAA